CAUUAACAAUUAACAAUUAAUUUUCAAACACAAGAUCUCUCUCCAUCUUCCCCGUCCUCUUCUACCUACUUCUCCUUUUGUGCAACUUGCCUUGUACAACAACACUUCCAUAUCCUUUGUGUUGUGUUGCCCACUCUAAAAAAGUGAGAGAGAGAGAGAGAGAGAGAGAGAGAGAGAGAGAGGACAACAUCCCACCAUUUGUGGCUGCCCUCUAUUUUAGUCCCUAGCCUUAAUCAUGCCAUCAGGUGCUAAGAAGAGGAAAGCUGCCAAGAAAAAGAAGGAAAAGGAAACUGAAAUUAACACCAACCACCCUUCAACCACCAACCCUCAAGGCAAUGAUGAGGUGAAGUCUCAAGAUGAGAAAGGGAGUGAUGGUGGUUCACCAACACAUGGUGAACAUGAUCUUGCAUUCAAUGAAGAGGAGGAGGAGAGGGACCCUUCAGCUGCUCAACCAUCUCAUGCUGCUGCUGCUUCCAAGGACUUUGAAGAAGUCCCUGGUGAUGCUAAUAGGAUUGAUGAAACAGAAGGAGGUAAAGAAGGUAUUGUUGUGAUAGAGUGGGAUAUGAAAUCUGAGGGUUCUGAGAGCAAAGAUGUGAGUGUUGGACAUGUUGAGUCCGCCAAGGAAUCUGAUAAUGGGAAUGCGAAUGGGAACUCCAGCAGUUCAAGUUCAAGUGAUGAAAUUGGAACCUUAAAGAACUCAAAGGAUGAGUCCCAUAAUUCAGUAAAUGAGACGGUUGCAUUUGAUGAGUUGGUUAAAUCCAUGGACUCUUUGCACGCCAAAAUGGCGUCGAUUACUGAAAAUGUGCUGGCUGAGGAGACUGGUGAUUUGGUUGCGGAAUCUUCUGCUGCUCCAGUUAAAGCAGAGGCCUCUGUACCUGAGGUACAAAGCGUUGAUAAUGAUGAUAAAGAACAUUCCUCCUUUGAUGAGAAUGUUAGAACAAUAAGUUUGGAGGAACCUAAGCCAAGGGAAUUUGACAGUGAAGUAUCAGCAUCAGUGUCUCAGAGUCCUAUCCCCGAAUCUAUUAUUGGUGCAGAACAUGUUAAAGAUUCUGAUACUCCAGAAUGCUCUGAUAAUCAGCCGCCUUUAGCAUCAGUUCCACCUGUGGUGCGAAAGACUUCCUGGUUGAGUUGCUGUGGACUGUUUGAUGUUCUGUCAGGCUCCAACAGAUAAGUUCAGGUACAGCUAAUUUUUCUGAUUGAAAUUUUAGUAGUUGGAUAUUGUUGGUCCAUUCAUAGAUUCCUUCUUUGCUGAUGGUGCAGAUAUUUUGUUUGGUCUUGAUAGUUUCUAGUGGCAUGAGAAAUACAAGCACGAUUGAGGAUAUCAUCUGAUGGAUCAGAUUUGUGUAAACGUAGGACUUCAUCGAGAAAAUUUUGUGAUAUUUUAAUGUAGAUUUCUUGUUAAGAUUUUCCAAAGAAUAAUGGGCAGAGACCCAACUACAUAAUUCAUGAGGUUUAUCAAAGGUUUGUCGUUGAAGUAUUUGUGUUAGCAACAGUUUCAGCUAAAUAUACCCGAGUCUUUAAAACUGUUCGAAUUACAUAUUUGUUAGUCUGAAAUUAUUAUAAUUCUCUUAGUUCUGCUUA